rnacentral:rRNA from 1 species
UUUAGUUUUUGUGGGCAUUCGGUGGAUGCCUUGGUACCAAGAGCUGAUGAAGGACGUGGCGGCCUGCGAUAAUCCUUGGGGAGUUGGCGAGCGAGCGUUGAUCUGAGGGUGUCCGAAUGGGGGAACCUGGCUGGGGUUGUGCCUGGUCACUAUCAUCUGAAUUCAUAGGGUGGUAGGGGGAACGCGGGGAAGUGAAACAUCUUAGUACCCGUAGGAGAAGAUAUUUCGUCAGUAGUGGUGAGCGAAAGCGGAUGAUGGCUAAACCGUGUGCGUGUGUGACUCGGCGGGGGUUGCGUGUGCGGGGUUGUGGGGCUCUUUUUUCUCUUCUUCUGCCGGGGGUGGGGGUGUGUGCGUGUGCGUGUGGUGAACAUCUUGGGAUGGGUGACCGUAGUGCGUGAUAGUCGUGUAGCUGUGUGUGUGCGUGUGUGCUGAAGGGGUGCCCGAGUAGUGCGGGGCUCGUGGAAUCUCGUGUGAAUCUGCCAGGACCACCUGGUAAGCCUGAAUACUUUUUGGUGACCGAUAGUGCAUAGUACCGUGAGGGAAUGGUGAAAAGUACCCCGGGAGGGGAGUGAAAUAGUGCCUGAAACCGGGUGCCUGUAAGCCGUCAGAGCCUGCUUUUGUUGGGUGAUGGCGUGCCUUUUGAAGAAUGAGCCUGCGAGUCAGUGAUGCGUGGCGUGCUUAACCCGUGUGGGGGAUGCGUAGCGAAAGCGAGUCUUAAUUUUGGGCGUGUGUCGCGUGUUGUGGACCCGAAGCGGGGUGAUCUACCUAUGGUCAGGGUGAAGCUAUGGUAAGACGUGGUGGAGGCCCGUACCCACCAGGGUUGAAAACCUGGGGGAUGAACUGUGGGUAGGGGUGAAAGGCCAAUCAAACUCCGUGAUAGCUGGUUCUCCCCGAAAUGCAUUUAGGUGCAGCGUCACACUGGGCUUGGUGGAGGUAGAGCUACUGGUUGGUUGAUGGGCCGUGUUGGUUACUGACGUCAGCUAAACUCCGAAUGCCAUUUCAAGUGGGUGUGGCAGUGAGACUGCGGGGGAUAAGCUUCGUGGUCGAGAGGGAAACAGCCCAGAUCAUCGGCUAAGGCCCCUAAGCGUGCGCUGAGUGGGAAAGGAUGUGGAGUCGCGUUGACAGCCAGGAGGUUGGCUUAGAAGCAGCCAUCCUUGAAAGAGUGCGUAAUAGCUCACUGGUCGAGUGGUUGUGCGCCGAUAAUGUAGCGGGGCUUAAGCGUGCCGCCGAAGCCGUGGCAAUAACUUUUUGUUUUUGGGUAGGGGAGCGUCCUGCUCUGGGUGAAGCUGCCUGGUGAUGGGUGGUGGACGGGGUGGGAGUGAGAAUGCAGGCAUGAGUAGCGUUUCGUGGGUGAGAAUCCUACGCGCUGAUUGACUAAGGGUUCCAGGGGCAGGUUUGUCCGCCCUGGGUUAGUCGGGUCCUAAGGCGAGGCCGACAGGCGUAGUCGAUGGGUGACCAGUUGAUAUUCUGGUACCGUUUGUUUUCCGUCUAACGCUGCAUGCUUUCGCGUCGUGUGCUUGCCGUGCGUGGUGUUGUCUUUCGGGAUGAUGCUGAGUGUGGCUGUGUGUGGUGUGGGGUGUGUGGUGAGCAUUGGGGUGACGCAGGGAGGUAGUUGCUGCACACUGGUGGUUAUGUGUGUCUAAGGUUGUGGCCUGUUUCUUGGGUGAAAUCCGGGAAGCUGCGUUUGAUCGCGUGGGUGAGGGCUGAUGGGGCUGCCUGUUGGGGUGGCUAGUGGUGAUCCUGUACUGCCGAGAAAAGCCUGGAUGUGAGGAAGAUGAGCGCCCGUACCCUAAACCGACUCUGGUGGUCAGGUAGAGUAUACCGAGGCGUGCGAGUGAAUCAUGGUUAAGGAAUUCGGCAAAUUGCCCCCGUAACUUUGGGAUAAGGGGGGCCCUGCUGGUGUGCCUGCUUUUGCGUGGGUGGUGCUGGUUGGGGUCGCAGAGAAUUGGGAGAAGCGACUGUUUAUUAAAAACAUAGGUGUGUGCUAAGCCGUAAGGCGCUGUAUACGCACUGACGCCUGCCCGGUGCUGGAAGGUUAAGAGGACGACUUAACUGCUUUUUUGUGGUGAAGGUUUGAAUUUAAGCCCCAGUAAACGGCGGUGGUAACUAUAACCAUCCUAAGGUAGCGAAAUUCCUUGUCGGGUAAGUUCCGACCUGCACGAAUGGCGUA